rnacentral:tmRNA from 1 species
AACGGGGACGACUUGGCUUCGACAGGAGUAGAGUGGCCUUGGUGGCAUGUCGCUUUGAGCAAAGCGUAUAAAGCUCAAAUUAAAAUUAAACGCAAACAACGUUAAAUUUGCUCCUGCUUACGCUAAAGCUGCGUAAGUUCAGUUGAGCCUGAAUUUUAAGUGAUACUAUCUAGCUUAGAAUUUGGUCAUUUUUGAUAGUGUAGAUUGAAAUUUGACAAGUUUUAAUCGAAGUUAAAGUCUUAGUCUAGCUUGAAAUUUUGGAAGGUGAGUUUGGCUAGAUGAAAUUUUCACCUUUGCUAAGCAUGUAGAUGCCGUGGUUGUUUUAUUUUUGGACAGGGGUUCAAUUCCCCUCGUCUCCACC